rnacentral:lncRNA from 1 species
CUCCAUCCAAAUAACAAUUUUAAAAAAGUAGACCAUUAUAGGUUAAUGUACGGCCUUCAACACGGAGCCUUGGCUCACACCGAACAACAAGUUAUAAAGGGCCACAGAAUUACUACUGUAAAACCAUUCAAACGGGAAAACCAACGGUCUAAUCUAUAUAAAAUUUAAAAAAAACAAGAAACGAGAAACACGUAUAAAUUACAUAAACAAACG